rnacentral:rRNA from 1 species
AUGAACGCUGGCGGCGUGCCUAAUACAUGCAAGUCGAGCGAACGGACGAGAAGCUUGCUUCUCUGAUGUUAGCGGCGGACGGGUGAGUAACACGUGGAUAACCUACCUAUAAGACUGGGAUAACUUCGGGAAACCGGAGCUAAUACCGGAUGAUAUUUUGAACCGCAUGGUUCAAAAGUGAAAGACGGUCUUGCAGUCACUUAUAGAUGGAUCCGCGCUGCAUUAGCUAGUUGGUAAGGUAACGGCUUACCAAGGCAACGAUGCAUAGCCGACCUGAGAGGGUGAUCGGCCACACUGGAACUGAGACACGGUCCAGACUCCUACGGGAGGCAGCAGUAGGGAAUCUUCCGCAAUGGGCGAAAGCCUGACGGAGCAACGCCGCGUGAGUGAUGAAGGUCUUCGGAUCGUAAAACUCUGUUAUUAGGGAAGAACAUAUGUGUAAGUAACUGUGCACAUCUUGACGGUACCUAAUCAGAAAGCCACGGCUAACUACGUG